CCUGUGAGCUCGGCAGUUGGUAGAAAGAAGGGGUCCAUCUUGCACAAUAACAGUUAGCUUGACGGCUAAAAGCACUAGCCUGCGCUGAGCUGUGCAUGUGGUAGCCACUGUUGGAUAGCUAGACAUCUGCAGAUCUCUUGUAUCCAGCUGAGAAAGUGCAGCUGCCAUUACAAGCUGGGGGAAUGCAGGAGAAAUCAUUGUAGCAGCCAGCUGGAUCAGAGGCUCAACACUGCUG